AUGAAUUUCGUCGAUCUAAUUAUAAUAGUAUAUAAUAGUAGUAGAAAAGUAGCACCAGUGUCUAUUAGAAGAGUUGCCUCUCCCAGUAAGGGGAAGGCGCAUAAUCUUAUGAGAGUUUUGAAAGAUGAAAGGAAAGGCCAUGGAAAAGAUGAAAAAAGAGAUUGUCCCAAAAGGACAGGUAUAAGACGAAGUGGCAAAAAGAUAGAAGUAUUGCACCCUUCAAUGCCUUUUCAUGCUGAUUGGGUAGAAGAAAUUUGA